GGCUCUGUGGUGCUACAUACAGCGCAUUGGACUUCUAGGUAAUCUCAAAAGAAGUGAUUCAAAGAUUGUGGGUUUGAGUCCCACCAGAGUCG
rnacentral:tRNA from 1 species